AGCGAACGCUGGCGGCAGGCUUAACACAUGCAAGUCGAGCGGGCAUCUUCGGGUGCCAGCGGCGGACGGGUGAGUAACGCGUGGGAACGUGCCUUCUGGUUCGGAAUAACUCAGGGAAACUUGAGCUAAUACCGGAUACGCCCUUUUGGGGAAAGGUUUACUGCCGGAAGAUCGGCCCGCGUCUGAUUAGCUAGUUGGUGGGGUAACGGCCUACCAAGGCGACGAUCAGUAGCUGGUCUGAGAGGAUGAUCAGCCACACUGGGACUGAGACACGGCCCAGACUCCUACGGGAGGCAGCAGUGGGGAAUAUUGGACAAUGGGGGCAACCCUGAUCCAGCCAUGCCGCGUGAGUGAUGAAGGCCUUAGGGUUGUAAAGCUCUUUUAUCCGGGACGAUAAUGACGGUACCGGAGGAAUAAGCCCCGGCUAACUUCGUGCCAGCCGCCGCGGUAA
rnacentral:rRNA from 1 species